rnacentral:rRNA from 1 species
AACAGGCUUAUCUCCCCCAAGAGUCCACAUCGACGGGGAGGUUUGGCACCUCGAUGUCGGCUCAUCACAUCCUGGGGCUGUAGUAGGUCCCAAGGGUUGGGCUGUUCGCCCAUUAAAGUGGUACGCGAGCUGGGUUCAGAACGUCGUGAGACAGUUCGGUCCCUAUCCGUCGCAGGCGUAGGAAAUUUGAGAAGACCUGUCCUUAGUACGAGAGGACCGGGAUGGACGUACCUCUGGUGUACCAGUUGUUCUGCCAAGGGCAUGGCUGGGUAGCUAUGUACGGAAUGGAUAAGCGCUGAAAGCAUCUAAGCGCGAAGCCAACUUCAAGAUAAGAUUUCCCACCG